UGACGGAACGGGCCCCUCCGACCCGUCUAGAAACACGGACCAAGGAGUCUGACACGUGUGCGAGUACCCGGGUGGCAAUCCCGCGUGCGGAAUGAAAGUGAAGGGCACGCCCUGCCAACCGACCUGGACCUUCUGCGAAGGGUUUGAGUGGAGCACACCUGUCGGGACCCGA
rnacentral:rRNA from 14 species